rnacentral:rRNA from 1 species
GACGUAGGGUGCGAGCGUUGUCCGGAUUUAUUGGGCGUAAAGAGCUCGUAGGCGGCUCGUCGCGUCGACCGUGAAAACCCGCGGCUUAACUGCGGGCUUGCGGUUGAUACGGGCGGGCUAGAGUUCGGUAGGGGAGACUGGAAUUCCUGGUGUAGCGGUGAAAUGACGCAGAUAUCAGGAGGAACACCGGUGGCGAAGGCGGAUCUCUGGGCCGAUACUGACGCUGAGGAGCGAAAGCGUGGGGAGCGAACAGG